rfam:Oceanospirillum linum strain ATCC 11336 NODE_8_length_130795_cov_1042.08, whole genome shotgun sequence.
UAGGCUAACUGUAAAUAUGCGCGGUUAGCCUGAAUAUAUGAUUCGCAUAUUUUAUCAGGAGAAGCAUCAUGGCUUUAACUGCAGAAAAAAAAGCAGAAAUCGUUAAAGAAUACGCACGUGGCGAA